UUUAUCCCCUUUUUCUCAGGUGCAAAGAGGGCUACCAAGGAGUCCGCUGUGACCAAUUUUUGCCGAAAACCGACUCAAUCUUGUCAGAUCCAACAGACCAUUUAGGAAUUGAAUUCAUGGUAAAAGAGAUGCAGAAGCCAGAGGAUGACCUUUGGAAACAAGUAUGGGCUGAGUCGGUCAGCACCCAAGACAAGGAGUCAUCAGUUCGGCUUGUUUCUUACAGCAGGAAUGAGUGGAGUAAGGAUAUGCCAAGGGAUGAAGUGUGAAAGAUUAUUUUAGCUGGGAGGAGCAGUCAUUUAUCAACUCCAGAGAAAAGAGCGCCUGAAGAGUGAAUUGAAUAGAAACAACUGAUCUGUGUGUGCUAUGGGAUUAAUGGAGAAAGCUGAGGUUCCUCAAGCUGGUGGAAGCUCUGCCACUGGCCGCAUCUUCUUAGGAAAGCGUACCUCUGAAAUGAAACCUAAGUGCAUCUGGUUAACAUGCUGAAGGAUCUUUUUCAACACCUUGACUCAUAUCUGCGGAUCUGGUUGGUUUUGUUUCAGCCAGAGGAAGAGAUUUAUCUCUGAGUGGUUGUGACUUAGCUACCAUCUGCAGCUACCACACCGGUAGCUGUACUGCUCUCUUUCUGUGCCAUUUUGCCAAUUUACCUACAAUUGCUAUGUCAGAAAUGGAUUGGGUUGGCAUACUUUGUGUUAGAAGGCAAGACUAAGGUUUACCAAAUGAUGAAUUUGCAUUUACUGUAUUGACCUGUAACACUUUCUGAGCACUUUCCCUGUCAAAAUAGUCAUUUUAUCAACUGUGUGGGUAAAAUAAUGACAAUUUAUAUUACUUAUUAUGACCAACCUCUUUGAUUGCUGGAAUUUUCUACCAACUAGCUAGCUAACCACGUGUGAUGGAACUUAAAGAAACUCUCUGUCAAUUUAUCCAUCUUCUUAUUGAUAACAUAGUAAGCUCACAGUUGUAGAAAGCCAGAAUUGGUCAUGGUUUCUCUGUUGAUCUGGGGAUGGGAUGGUAGGAGGUGGUGGUUUUGUUAAGCACAGUAUAAGUCUCUGUAAAUUGGAUGUAUGUCAUCAGUAAUGCUACAUAAAACUUCUGGUCUGUCACUUCCCCUGCAAGUGUGUAUGGUUUACAACUAGAAUGUCAAAAUGUUAUCUGAGGACUAAAGAAGAGAAAUAGCAAAACCUUAAGAAACGAGAUACUUUGUACAAGCUCCCAGGUAAGUGGCUGCGUAACUCCUGUUGCCAGGUACAAACCACUUCUGCAUGAGGCUGUGCUCUGUUGUCACUUCAGAAAAAGGGAGUUGUGCUUUGAGGCUCGAUUUCAACUGAGGACACAGCGUCUUAUCUGCAUACAGGGGUUUUUUGCUUAAUUAUGUCAAUAAUAUAUGCAAAUUAUGCAUAUAUUCUGAUUUGGGGCUAGGUGUGUCCCCUGGGUUCCUGCGUGGCUGGUGUCUCACAAAGGUGAAUGCUUUUUGUCAUGAAAUACAGGCAAUUGGAUGGCCCCGGUUGAACGACAGCUGUGUAUUUAAAUGUGACCUUAUAUCUAGUUGGUCUUGUAACCUGCAAUUUGAAUAUGGCAUUUAGGUAAAUGUCUUGCUUUGUUUGAGAAAUUGUUAAAAUGGGCACCACAAGAGUGUAUUAACACAGUAAGUUGACUUGUAAUGUUGGGAUUUUACUCUUGGCCUUGCUUGGUCUGUGAUGAUGUAACCAGCUGUAACCAUGUGUAGACAGUGACUUGUAUGUAUUGUCUGCUGCUUUGUGUUUCUAGUUGAGCGAGGACCUGGGAUGAGACUUCAAAUUAGUAAGUACACCAUGUACGUGCCUGGGAGAGCUUGGAGUCUGUUGUUACACUACUAGGAUGUGGCUUUUAUUAGUUGUUUACUGUGUAUAGUGUUAUUUUGCUGCAGGAGUAGAGGCUCCAAAUGCCAGAGCUGUGCCAUGUUUAUGCAGCUGCAAUGAAUCACCGUUACUUUAUCCUUUACUGCUUUGAGGUGUCACGUAGGUGUCAAGUCUCAUCCAGAAAAAGAUGCAAGGAUUCGGAAAGCAUAAGGUGAAUAUCACAAUAAAUGUUCUAUGGCAGUGGUGCACUUGUAAUAUAUAUUGCAGUUGCAUAGAAAAAUCGAUGUUUCUGAUGGCGAACUAAAUCUUUGUGUCCUCUGUGCCUAGAAUGAGCAGAGACAGCGUCCUGCCAGUUGUUGCUGGAUGAAUAGGAGAAGGGGGCUGUACGAUAUUGACAUGUGAAGAUGUGUAAAGCCAUUAUUCCUGCUCUGGCUGAUUAUUUUAAUAAAGUUACUUUCAUGAUAAC
rnacentral:lncRNA from 7 species